AGAUAGAGGGGUGCUCGAAAGAGAGCCGUAACACAGGUGCUGCAUGGCUGUCGUCAGCUCGUGUCGUGAGAUGUUGGGUUAAGUCCCGCAACGAGCGCAACCCUUGUCAUUAGUUGCUAUAUUCAGUUGGGCACUCUAAUGAGACUGCCGGUGACAAGCCGGAGGAAGGUGGGGAUGACGUCAAGUCCUCAUGGCCCUUAUAGGUGGGGCUACACACGUCAUACAAUGGCUGGUACAAAGGGUUGCCAACCCGCGAGGGGGAGCCAAUCCCAUAAAGCCAGUCGUAGUCCGGAUCGUAGUCUGCAACUCGACUACGUGAAGUCGGAAUCGCUAGUAAUCGUGGAUCAGAAUGUCACGGUGAAUACGUUCCCGGGUCUU
rnacentral:rRNA from 1 species